AAGAUAAAGACCAUCCUGCCAGUACCGAAACAGCCCCGUUGGGCCCAAGGCUCUGGAAGAGAAUUCAAGGCUGCAGCCUCGGCCACCCGCAAUCUGCCUUCUCAGGAGCAGCAGGUGGAGCAUGGGUAGACACUGUUACCGAGUACCGAGAGUCGCCAGCUUUCCACCCUGCAGCAGAUGUGGAAGCUGGGAUUUCAGCGCGGACACCCCAAGUCCAGGCGCAGGAGGUUCUCAGCCGGAAGGAAGGGUCUGGAGUUCCCACCCAGCUUGGCUUCUCGGGACCCAUCAUGUCUGUGUAUAAAAUGAGAUAGAGGCUCUCUGUGUGCCAGGCAGCAGGAAGACAGGGCUGGAGGGCAGUGGCACAAGGAGCCUUCUCUGCUGU